rnacentral:misc_RNA from 1 species
UCUAACAAGUAUAUUUAAAAAAAUAAUUUAACUAGUAUAUUUAAAAAUAUAAUUUUCUCAGUUUCACCGUUAAAACUAAAUGAGCAAUUGGAAUCUCAAACCUGCUGAUUCCAACCACUCGUCCAAACAUGCACCCAAGACCUCUUGGCUACUCAAAAUUAGACAAUCUAUGCUAAAACUAACAAAUUUAAGACUUGACUAUUUCUAAGGCAUUCUUGCUAAUGAUAUGAUAAAAAAAACCAAGUCCACAACGCAUUUCUCAAACAUUGAAAAAAAAAAUUAUCAUCAAAACUAGCAGCAUCUUUCUUGUCUCGAGAAAAUGAGCAAGAAAAGUAAAGAUAUACUUACAUUUACACUGUUGAGAUACUUUUCUUUAUCAACCCUCACAAUCUGACCUUUCUUCA